CCCUUAGAUGUUCUGGGCCGCACGCGCGCUACACUGAUGCAUUCAACGAGUCUAAAACCUGCUCUGAUAGGGGUGGGUAAUCUUUUGAAUGUGCAUCGUGAUUGGGAUAGAUGAUUGCAAUUUUUCAUCUUCAACGAGGAAUGCCUAGUAAACGCAAGUCAUCAGCUUGCAUUGAUUACGUCCCUGCCCUUUGUACACACCGCCCGUCGCUCCUACCGAUUGAAUGAUCCGAUGAAUAUCAUGGAUUGAGGAUUAUAGCAGGUCCGCCUGUCUUGAUCUUCGAGAAGUGAAGUAAAUCUUAUCAUUUAGAGGAAGGAGAAGUCGUAACA
rnacentral:rRNA from 1 species